UGAAUUGUAGUUUAUAAGAGUGUAGAACUGUGCUGCCUUGCCUUAAGUCUCUUGAAAAAGAGCUACAGAGAGGGUGAAAUUCCCGUUUUGGUGCAAGUAGUAGUAUGGAACUUAUCUCUAAAGAGUCAUGUUGCUUGAGAAUGCAGCAUAAAAUGGGUGGUAAAUUCCAUCUAAGGCUAAAUACUGGUAAGAGUCCGAUAGUAAACAAGUACCUUAAGGGAAAGAUGAAAGAGAACCUUGAAAAGGGUCUCAAAAGAAAGUGAAAUUGUUAUAAGGAAACCGCUUAAAACUUCUGGAAUCUGUGCACCAGUUAAUGGGGGAGCAAUCCCUUUGCUAUUGGUGUAUGGGUGGCUAUUGCUCGGGUUUGAGCUUAUGAGGAUUAGAAGGGAAGGUAAGUUGAAUUUCGGUUUAACUUCUUAAAGCCCUUUUAGUCUGAUAAAGUUUGGGCCAGUGUAGAAAGUCAUACGGUGGCUAGCUCUUGAAUUAAACACUAUAAUAGACUUGUGCUAGAGUGGUUUUUAAUUUAAGGCCUAGUACUGCCACAUGCUUUAAUAGUUAAGAAGACUUAAGCGACCCGUCUUGAAACACGGACCAAGGAGUCUAACAUAUAUGCAAGUAUUAUGGCUUAAAACCAGACUGCGCAAUGAAAGUAAUUUCAAGGUAGGAUCCCGCAAGGGUGCACUAUCGACCGAGCUAUAGGAUUUUUUUCUAUGGUUUGAGUAAGAGCAUAUAUGUUGGUACCCGAAAGAUGGUGAACUAUGCCUGAAUAGGGUGAAGCCAGGGGAAACCCUGGUGGAAGCUCGUAGCGAUUCUGACGUGGAAAUCGAUCGUCAAAUUUGGGUAUAGGG
rnacentral:rRNA from 1 species